rnacentral:rRNA from 1 species
UACGGAGGGUGCAAGCGUUGCUCGGAAUUAUUGGGCGUAAAGGGUAGGUAGGUGGUCUUAUUUGUCUGGGGUGAAAGCCUUGAGCUUAACUCAAGAAGUGCCCCAGAAAACGGUGAGACUAGAGUCCUGGAGAGGGUCGUGGAAUUCCCGGUGUAGCGGUGAAAUGCGUAGAGAUCGGGAGGAACACCAGAGGCGAAGGCGGCGACCUGGACAGGUACUGACACUCAACUACGAAAGCGCGGGGAGCAAACGG